rnacentral:rRNA from 1 species
GGAAUAUUGGACAAUGGAGGCAACUCUGAUCCAGCCAUGCCGCGUGCAGGAAGACGGCCCUAUGGGUUGUAAACUGCUUUUAUACGGGAAGAACCACUCCGACGUGUCGGAGCUUGCCGGUACCGUAUGACUAAGGACCGGCUAACUCCGUGCCAGCAGCCGCGGUAAUACGGAGGGCCCAAGCGUUAUCCGGAAUCAUUGGGUUUAAAGGGUCCGUAGGCGGAAUAAUAAGUCAGUGGUGAAAGUCCGCAGCUCAACUGUAGAAUUGCCAUUGAUACUGUUAUUCUUGAAUUAUUAUGAAGUGGUUGGAAUGAGUAGUGUAGCGGUGAAAUGCAUAGAUAUUACUCAGAACACCUAUUGCGAAGGCAGAUCACUAAUAAUAUAUUGACGCUGAGGGACGAAAGCGUAGGUAGCGAACAGG